GUCCUGAAAGAAGACAUGGAGCCGGUAAAUUGUACUGCACCUGUUAUCUGUCUCUUGAUCAUGUUGGUAAAUUUAACAUCAGCAGUUCCUCCAGGCUUUGAUCCAGAAGUGUUGAGGUAUCUACAACCCGGUCACAGCAGGUGGAAGCGGCAAAUAGGCUCUCCGUGUACUGCCAACAUUCAGUGUCCCAGCGAAUCCUGCUGCUUGGACAGGGGCCUCGGCUAUCCCACUUGCCGACCACUUGCAAGAGUUGGCC
rnacentral:lncRNA from 1 species